rnacentral:lncRNA from 13 species
GAGAUGACUGAUAUAAUGAGCUCUAUCUAUGACAUGAUGGGAACGUGUACGUACCCCUGUAUGCAGAACGACGCCCCCAAGGAGCACGUCGACAACUUCUUCCAGAAAAUGGACAAGAACAAAGAUGGCGUGGUCACCAUUGAGGAGUUUCUGGAGUCUUGUCAAAAGGAUGAGAACAUCAUGCAGUCCAUGCAUCUGUUUGACAACGUCAUUUAGUGAUACUUCCUGUGGGUGUGGCCUAAAGGACAGGGUGCCCAUAUUUAGCCUCACAGCCUCCACCCCUAGCUCCCCUCUAUCCCCAAACACAGACUCAUUAGGGAUGUCAGGUGGGUAAACAGUACCCCUCCAUGGAUCUCCACUCUCCUCCUACCUGGGAAGGUCAGACAACAGUUAGGUGGGCAAUAGGUACACCUCCAUGGGUCUCCACUCUCUCAUCCACCUCUAGCCCAUCUCUGCCCCCCAAAAGAGACUCCCCUACCUGGGAAGGUCAGACAACAGUUAGGGGCUCAAAGCCACGCCAUGUUGGAGACCAUAUCACUCAUUCUAUAUGACAUCACAUUCUCACUAUGCAAUUGAUUCUCUAAUUACUAGUUUGACAAAAUGGUGGACUGUUAUUCUUCUAAGGACAAAAGGCUUUAAAUGAAACAAUAAUCUCACUGCUUGGUAUGAACUUGUUAACUGUGAGAUGUAUUAUUAUCAAUCAUCGACAUUCUUCCAUUUCUCAAUGUUCUGGAAGGGAAUCCCCUGGCUGACGGAAUUACCCACAACCCUCCAAUCAUCCAUAUUGUGUCCUAUUUACCUCAACAGAAAUAUGGUCCGGGUCUGUUUAGUUUUUUUUGUGCGUGACUUCUGGUUAAGCGCUUCCGGCCAAUAGUUGGGAGCUAGCUAGCUAACUAACUCAGUAUCGCUUCUCACAACUUUCCAAACUUGGAUUCACAUAAAUGGUAAUUUUAUGUUCUGUAAGGGGUUGCCACGGCAACUGUCAGAAACAGAAACUGUUCAUGGAGCAGGAGUGUUUUGACCACCAAACUUUUUUGAGGAGCGAGUGCAGUUGUGAGGCUCCUUUUGAUUUGCACCCACCUCCUAAAGACGAGGAGUCUCUUUGGCUUUGGCUCAAAGCAUUGAAAAGAUGCUGUGAAGAAGUCAAUGGAACUCAAUCAAAACAAUCGAAUUGCCAUGGAAACGUGUGGGGGAAAGAUCCCAAAUCUCCUCAUUGCCCCCCAGCAAAAUGAACCUCCAUUUAGGCGUGUUAUUAUUUACAGUGUAGAGUACGUGUACUAUGUUGUGGUAAAAAUCAGAAAUGUAAUGCUUGUAUGGAUGUCAACCACAGGAGGUUGGUGGCACCUUAAUUGGGGAGGACGGGCUCAUAGUAAUGGCUGAAGCGAAAUCGUUGGAAUGGUAUCAAAUGCAUCAAACACAUGCGACUGAAGCCAUUCCAUUCGCUCCGUUCCAGCCUUUAUCAUGAGCCGUCCUCCCCUCAGCAGCCUCCUGUGAUGUCAACCCCAAUGUUCAGGUCAUCGUCACCAACCACCGACAUUAGUUAAAAACGACUUUGACUACACCACUGAUUUCUGUAUGCUAGCUAUGCUACCAGCUUUUAUGAAGGUGAGUUAGCCUUUAUCAGUCACUCCUCCUAAACCUGAAAAGGUACAACUCCUAAAUGAUGCAGCAAAAACAGCCAAAUAAAUUCAAAUCAGACUUUAGCAACCACAUUGUGGGCCUGUUUAGAAUGCAUCAAUCAUGACGGAUUGAUGAAUAUACACUUUGUUACAUCAGAUAUGUUGAAUGUGCACCAAUCCGGCGUCCCUCUUAUGUCCCCCACGGUCUGCGUUCCAUUGACCUCCUUUACAGCAUCUGUAGUGUCUGCAUGAUGUGUGUUUUAAAAAGGACAAUAAGUAAUAUUUAAUGUGGUUGUGUGUGCACUGUAUGUGCUGGAGAUGACUCCUUCUGAAAGUGUCUGUGUAUAUUUUUGUACAGACAUGAUGUUGAUGAUGUCUGUACAAACCCAAAUAUAAGUGAAUAAACCACUGUUGCUAUGCAAACAAAUGUAAAUGUUUUAUUUGUAGUGUUGGAAUCGGCUAAACUUCGAACAUUUAGACAUUAAAUAAAUGAUAGAGAAGAAGCCUUGGACAGGAAGAGUGAAAGAGACUCUGGGUUGUGUGUCAGAAGUUAAGGGUUCUCUGUGGGAAGACAGAUGGCUGUGGAAUGUGUUGGGUGGAAGGGAGAAGAGCAACGGUUGAGAUAAGGGAGACAGAUGGACGUCUGUGGACUAGAGGAAGGAGGGGUUGUGAUAGGGGAGACAGACGGACGUCUGGACUAGGGGAAGGAGGGGUUGAGAUAGGGGAGACAGAUGGACGUCUGUGGACUAGGGGAAGGAGGGGUUGAGAUAGGGGAGACAGACGGACAUCUGUGGACUAGGGGAAGGAGGGGUUGAGAUAGGGGAGACAGACGGACAUCUGUGGACUAGGGGAAGGAGGGGUUGAGGUCAGGAGGUGAGGUCAGUUCCCCUUAAUAAGGGAGUAAUCAGGGUUUAGUAUCUGGUUACCUUCUUCCUUUAGAACCAUAAGAUGUAAGGAUUGGAGAGAAGGAGGAGUGUCUUAAGUGGGAUGUAUAUAACUGUGAUGGUGAGAAAUGUUUUGCUGUCUGAAUACAGCUGUACAGAACCUUUGGGAAGAAUUAAAAAUGGUUAAAGCUUCUCUAGUGUCCGUGAGUCAUUUACUCUGAAAAAUAAGAACCUAACAGUAGUUACUGUAUGUACAGUACAAGAGCUGUGAUUUUAAAAGCUACUUUGAAGAUACUGUUAUAACAAGGUGAAAACAAUGACAAUGAAGUUGAAUCUGAACAGUUUAUUAAACACAAUCCACACUUAACAGUUUCCAAUAUUUUGUAUAUUUAUAAAAGCGAUAAGAGACGUUGCAUCAGGACACAGGCAAAAUAUUACCAUAAAUUUGUCAUAAAACCAAUAAAUGUAUAUGAACAA